rnacentral:rRNA from 1 species
GACGAACGCUGGCGGCGUGCCUAAUACAUGCAAGUCGAGCGGACCAAUAGAAGCUUGCUUCUGUUGGUUAGCGGCGGACGGGUGAGUAACACGUGGGCAACCUGCCUGUAAGACUGGGAUAACUUCGGGAAACCGGAGCUAAUACCGGAUAAUUCAUCCCCUCGCAUGAGGGAGUGUUGAAAGUCGGUUCACGCUGACACUUACAGAUGGGCCCGCGGCGCAUUAGCUAGUUGGUGAGGUAAUGGCUCACCAAGGCGACGAUGCGUAGCCGACCUGAGAGGGUGAUCGGCCACACUGGGACUGAGACACGGCCCAGACUCCUACGGGAGGCAGCAGUAGGGAAUCUUCCACAAUGGACGAAAGUCUGAUGGAGCAACGCCGCGUGAGCGAUGAAGGCCUUCGGGUCGUAAGCUCUGUUGUUAGGGAAGAACAAGUAUCGGAGUAACUGCCGGUACCUUGACGGUACCUAACCAGAAAGCCACGGCUAACUACGUGCCAGCCGCCGCCGUAACAC